GUUUUCCAGCCAAGAGGAGAAGAAAGUACGGACUAAAAUGGAGGAACGAGGGAUUGGAAUUCGAAUAGCUUUCGUCACCUUGUUGGACUGGGAUUCAUUUAGGUCAUGUGACCUUUGACAUAAAGAUUUAUGUACAGUCAGCCAGACUUUGGACUUUAUUCUCCAUAAUAAAAAUAAUCCAAUGGCUCCCAAGGCAAGAAUAAUUCCCAUCAUCGAUGUCAAUUACCUUUCCGUCCAAAUGCCAUUUCUACAGGGGACGACUUCACGACACAAAUUUACAGACUUCAGUUAAGAUUUAUGUACCUCGUGUUCAAGUUUACGUUACAUAUUGAUACAUAUUUA